GAAUGUGGCUGCAACACGUUCACCUUCGUCUGAUACUCGCACGAGGGCACGCAGCAACGCGAGCGACAUUCAUCCAGUGAAUGUGGCUGCAACACGUUCACCUUCGUCUGAUACUCGCACGAGGACACGCAGCAAUGCAACUGGGAACAAAAAAGAGAAUGUGUCUGCAUCACCUUUACCUUUACCAUCACCUGCUACUCACACGCCGUACUGUAGGUCUCUUUCAGUUCUCAAAGCAACUGAGACUACUGUGUGUUCAGUUAAAUAGGAACUGUUUUGAGCAAUGGCAUGACGACAUUUAAACUCCAUUCUCAAAGAUUCACAGUGUGUGAUGGCUUACAAAUUUAUAUCUUAUUUUUUAUAUUGUAAAGA